GGUAUGAUGGGUUGAGCUGUAAACUCAAUAGCUAAGGCUGUCGAAGGUUCAAUUCCUUUUCUUCCUA
rfam:Triticum urartu cultivar G1812 contig1232294, whole genome shotgun sequence.